CUAUAACAAUAAGGACUGUUUCUAUGUUAGAUACUGUAGGUUAAAGAUAGUCUAUAACAAUAAGGACUGUUUCUAUGUUAGAUACUGUAGGUUAAAGAUAGUCUAUAACAAUAAGGACUGUUUCUAUGUUAGAUACUGUAGGUUAAAGACUGUCUAUAACAAUAAGGACUGUUUCUAUGUUAGAUACUGUAGGUUAAAGAUAGUCUAUAACAAUAAGGACUGUUUCUAUGUUAGAUACUGUAGGUUAAAGAUAGUCUAUAACAAUAAGGACUGUUUCUAUGUUAGAUACUGUAGGUUAAAGACUGUCUAUAACAAUAAGGACUGUUUCUAUGUUAGAUACUGUAGGUUAAAGACUGUCUAUAACAAUAAGGACUGUUUCUAUGCUAGAUACUGUAGGUUAAAGAUAGUCUAUAACAAUAAGGACUGUUUCUAUGCUAGAUACUGUAGGUUAAAGAUAGUCUAUAACAAUAAGGACUGUUUCUAUGUUAGAUACUGUAGGUUAAAGACUGUCUAUAACAAUAAGGACUGUUUCUAUGUUAGAUACUGUAGGUUAAAGAUAGUCUAUAACAAUAAGGACUGUUUCUAUGUUAGAUACUGUAGGUUAAAGACUGUCUAUAACAAUAAGGACUGUUUCUAUUUCUGGUGCAUGUCCAAGAUCGAUAAUCAAUAUGUUGUUUAUACAGAUCAGUCUACACAAUAUUGAUACUAUAUAGUCCCAUAAGAACUGGAGAAAACUCAAAGACUGAUGUCAGUUGAUCGUUGUUGUGAUUCAAUGUUUAAAGAGCCACUUUGUUACUAAUAGCUGAAGAACCAGAGAACACAUAUGGAAUCAUGUUGUAACCAAAAAUACGUUAAACAAAUCAAAAUAUAUUUUAUAUUUUAUGAUUCUUAAAAGUAGCCACCCGUUGCCUUGAUGACAGCUUUGCACACUCUUGGCCUUCUGUCAACCAACUUCAUGAGGUAGUCACCUGGAUUUUAAAAAAAUUAAUAAGUGUGACUUGAUUAAAGUACAUUUGUGGAAUGUAUUUCCUUCUUAGGAAUGGUAUACAGAAUAUAGCCCUAUUUGGUAAAUGACCAAGUCCAUAUUAUGGAAAGAUCAGCUCAAAUAAGCAAAGAGAAACGACAGCCCAUCAUUACUUUAAGACAUGAAGGUCAACCGUACAGAAAAUGAACUUUGAAAGUGCAGUGGCAAAAAUCAUCAAGUGCUCUGAUGAAACUGCCUCAUGAGGACCACGACAAGAAAGGAAGACCCAGAGUUUCCUCUGCUGCAGAGGAUAAGUACAUUAGAGUUCGCUGUACCUCAGUUUGCAGCCUAAAAUAAAUGCUUCACAGAGUUCAAGUAAGAGACACAUCUAAGCAUCAACUGUUCAGAGGAGACUAUUUGAAUC